CCCGAAGGUAUCCUGAAUCUUUCGCAUUGUUAAUCAUACAAGUGCAUAUAAUAAACACAAAAAUCUUGAUAAUUAUGCCAUUAUAUAAUUCCGAAAAAUUAACGCACAGUAUUCAUAUAAAUCUAUCAGCACGUUUAUCAAAUUUAUGACAUUUAUAACAUGUUAUAAUGCAAGCACUAUAAUUGAAAUAAUCAAUAAUUCACAAUUUU
rnacentral:rRNA from 1 species